rnacentral:rRNA from 1 species
UACAGAGGGUGCGAGCGUUGUUCGGAAUUAUUGGGCGUAAAGGGCGCGUAGGCGGCGCCACAAGUCACCUGUGAAAACUCUGGGCUCAACCCAGAGCCUGCAGGCGAAACUGUGGUGCUGGAGUAUGGGAGAGGUGCGUGGAAUUUCCGGUGUAGCGGUGAAAUGCGUAGAUAUCGGAAGGAACACCAGUGGCGAAGGCGGCUACCUGGAUUGACACUGACACUGAGGCGCGAGAGCGUGGGGAGCAAACAGG